CAUGACCAUGGCUGUCUGGAAGCCAAGGACUGGAGUGACCUUCAGGAGUCCCUCAGGAGACUCAGGCCUUUUAACAUUCCGUGGAGGGAGAGAAGCUCACCCUGGCCUCUAUAUCAAGAACCUCUGAUAAUGGAUAAAGGAAGAAGUGGUCCCAGCUGGGAAGUUGCUGUCAUAAUGCAGAUGAGAGGGUGAAGCAUCAUGAAAGUGAUAAUGAAAGCUAAGAAGAACCAGGACCAGACAUCCCUCACCAGGACUCC